GGCUCGGUGGUUAGUGGUUAGCAUGGUUGCCUCACACCUCCGGGGUUGGGGGUUCGAACCCCGCCUCCGCCC